rnacentral:rRNA from 1 species
CCCAGACUCCUACGGGAGGCAGCAGUGAGGAAUAUUGGUCAAUGGCCGGAAGGCUGAACCAGCCAAGCCGCGUGAGGGAGGAAGGCGCAGAGCGUCGCAGACCUCUUUUGCCGGGGGACAAAAGGCCGGACUCGUCCGGUCCUGAGGGUACCCGGAGAAAAAGCAUCGGCUAACUCCGUGCCAGCAGCCGCGGUAAUACGUAGGGGGCAAGCGUUAUCCGGAUUUACUGGGUGUAAAGGGAGCGUAGACGGCAGCGCAAGUCUGGAGUGAAAUGCCGGGGCUCAACCCCGGAACUGCUUUGGAAACUGUGCAGCUAGAGUGCGGGAGAGGUAAGCGGAAUUCCUAGUGUAGCGGUGAAAUGCGUAGAUAUUAGGAGGAACACCAGUGGCGAAGGCGGCUUACUGGACCGUAACUGACGUUGAGGCUCGAAAGCGUGGGGAGCAAACAGGAUUAGAUACCCGUGUA